AUAAAAUAUUCUUGGUGAAUCCUUAAACUACUUAUCUAUUUUUAUUUGAGAAGUGACAAUAUUAUUUCAAGAACUAGCGUGUUCUUUUAUCCGUACAUGAUACAACUUAACGAGAUGGAUGAAAAAAAAUAACAGGGAAGAUAGUCUUUAACGCCGAUUUUAAUCAGUGUUAAUUAAUUAAUACCAUCACAGAGUUUAUCGAAUUUUCAAUAUGUUGAGAUUCUCAGUAAAACAUCAUUUUCUUUACAUAACUUCGAUCAAUUUGUAAAAAUAUAUGCAAACUCUCUUUUCUAUUCAUCUAACUGAAGCACCAAAUUCAUACCUUCAUUAUUUGGGCUAUUCUAACUACAAGUUAGAUAUGUACUUAUUAUUAGUAGGUAUCAUCUAAGGUAAAAAAUCAAUUUGCAAUAGGAUUGUGAAUUUUUUGAAUUCUCGUACCUAUUACGGAAACUUUUUUUUGAAUAUUCAGUAACCCGUUGGGCAUAGAAGCAUAUAUUACAGCGAUUGGACUAUUAUUAAUUCAUUAAGCAGCUUACGAAAAAUAUUUUCGACACAUGCUAUCACGACUAGUAAGGUUCAAUUUAUCAUUUAAUUGUUACAUUUAUUCACACUUCAGUCUUAGAUUCCGAAAGAAAACUAUGAAACAUUUCCACUGAACAGUUAUUUUUCAAAUUAUAUAUUCGGGAUUUUAUCCAGUGCUUAUUUACAAAUUAUCUUUCAUUUUUUUGCAAUCCCAUCUGAAGUUUGAAAAAAUCUAUAGAUUAUGUGUAUUUAACAAAAAAAUUAAUCAACAUUAAAAUCCCUGCUUCGAAUUCAGGGUAAACAACUCAAUAAUAUGCAAAAUAAAAACUUUGAUAAGAUUUCCUAACCACUUUGUUCACUAUGUACAAUUGCAAUAUUAUCCGUUCAAGCGUGUCAACCUGCUUUUACGUAUCACUUUAAUUACUUAAUUUUCACGGAUGAAUUAUGCAUUAUGAUUUAUGUGUUAUAUGAGGAGUUGUCGAAUUAAAAUUAUGCUAUAAUCAAUUUAUACCGACUACGUAAAAUGUCACCUAUUAUUUUGGCUAUUAUCAGAGCUUACGCAUUUUUGACAGAAAAAGUUACAGCUAGGCCAAUAAUUAUAUAUGCCGAACACAAGUAUCUAAAAAAUUGUUUCUUUUACGAAGCAAUAGUGUUUGUUUUUUUAUCCUGAUCCUCGCAUGCAUCAAAAAAGUUGUUUGGAAUUGAAUGUAGAAUUACGCUAUCUAUGGAAUUUUUACGUUGAUAAUGUGUAAACUCUAACUAUUAAUUCAAAAUAUGUGAUCCCGUCUACAACUCUUAUCGAGCCAAUGAAUAAAAAGUACGGGAAAGAGCAUGAGUUACAAAUUUCGUGAUAGGGGUGGAGUCGUAUACAUCAUGCAUUGAUCAAAGGUAGCGGUUAUGUGAAGUCAUUUUAUGCACAUGUGGGCUGUUUCUAAUCGUAUGUCAACAGAACACACGUACCGGGAAAAUACGUGAAAAUGUCUGAAGGGCAGUUAAAAAUAGAGCAGAUCCGUCUGCAUUUAGGCAAUUCAGAGCACAUUUUACCGAUCGACAUUUAUGUUUCACAUCGAAUUAUCAGAGAAAGUGAGGAAUUUGGCCA